rnacentral:tRNA from 1 species
GGGCGAUUAGCUCAGUUGGUUAGAGCACCUGCCUUACAAGCAGGGGGUCAUAGGUUCGAGUCCUAUAUUGCCCACCA